UACGAAGGGGGCUAGCGUUGUUCGGAUUCACUGGGCGUAAAGGGUGCGUAGGUGGUGAGGUAAGUCGGAUGUGAAAUCUCCGAGCUCAACUCGGAAAUGGCAUUGGAAACUACCUUGCUCGAGGGUUGGAGGGGGGACUGGAAUUCCCGGUGUAGCAGUGAAAUGCGUAGAGAUCGGGAGGAACACCAGUGGCGAAGGCGGCCUUCUGGACCAAUACUGACGCUCAUGCACGAAAGCGUGGGGAGCAAACAGG
rnacentral:rRNA from 1 species